CCUAAAACAGAACAGCACACAGCAAGAAACAGUGGCCGAAUAGUGAUGACCAAACUGUGGAAGGAAGACCGGCCGUGAACAUGAGAGAACCAGGAAACCAUUCUUGUGAGUGAAAAAUCACAGACCUCACCUGCAAAUUCUGUGCACAGAAGACUAUAAAAUCAUUCCUGUGGCUACAGAAUGAAUCACAGUACUGCAGCUCAUAUUUAUCAUUACAGCUCCUUGGAAGUCAAUGGAAUAAUAUUCGUUUGUCCGCUUUUGACUGAGAAUAUGACUGGAUAAAAUUUUAGUCAGAACUGAAGAAUAAACUAGAAACCUUGAGUGUUGUUAA